AGUGAACGGUGGCGGUAGGCCUAACACAUGCAAGUCGAACGGCAGCACAGUAAGAGCUUGCUCUUACGGGUGGCGAGUGGCGGACGGGUGAGGAAUACAUCGGAAUCUACUUUUUCGUGGGGGAUAACGUAGGGAAACUUACGCUAAUACCGCAUACGACCUACGGGUGAAAGCAGGGGAUCUUCGGACCUUGCGCGAUUGAAUGAGCCGAUGUCGGAUUAGCUAGUUGGCGGGGUAAAGGCCCACCAAGGCGACGAUCCGUAGCUGGUCUGAGAGGAUGAUCAGCCACACUGGAACUGAGACACGGUCCAGACUCCUACGGGAGGCAGCAGUGGGGAAUAUUGGACAAUGGGCGCAAGCCUGAUCCAGCCAUACCGCGUGGGUGAAGAAGGCCUUCGGGUUGUAAAGCCCUUUUGUUGGGAAAGAAAAGCAGCAGGUUAAUACCCCGCUGUUCUGACGGUACCCAAAGAAUAAGCACCGGCUAACUUCGUG
rnacentral:rRNA from 1 species